rnacentral:rRNA from 1 species
UUGCAAACUGAAGAUGGCGACCGGCGCACGGGUGAGUAACACGUAUCCAACCUGCCGAUAACUCGGGGAUAGCCUUUCGAAAGAAAGAUUAAUACCCGAUGGUAUAAUCAGACCGCAUGGUCUUGUUACUAAAGAAUUUCGGUUAUCGAUGGGGAUGCGUUCCAUUAGGCAGUUGGUGAGGUAACGGCUCACCAAACCUUCGAUGGAUAGGGGUUCUGAGAGGAAGGUCCCCCACAUUGGAACUGAGACACGGUCCAAACUCCUACGGGAGGCAGCAGUGAGGAAUAUUGGUCAAUGGACGGGAGUCUGAACCAGCCAAGUAGCGUGAAGGAUGACUGCCCUAUGGGUUGUAAACUUCUUUUAUAUGGGAAUAAAGUUUUCCACGUGUGGAAUUUUGUAUGUACCAUAUGAAUAAGGAUCGGCUAACUCCGUGCCAGCAGCAGCGGUAAUACGGAGGAUUCGAGCGUUAUCCGGAUUUAUUGGGUUUAAAGGGAGCGUAGGUGGACAGUUAAGUCAGUUGUGAAAGUUUGCGGCUCAACCGUAAAAUUGCAGUUGAUACUGGUUGUCUUGAGUACAGUAGAGGUGGGCGGAAUUCGUGGUGUAGCGGUGAAAUGCUUAGAUAUCACGAAGAACUCCGAUUGCGAAGGCAGCUCACUGGACUGCAACUGACACUGAUGCUCG